GAGGGGCCUGCUGAUAGGCUGCGAAGGCGAUAGGCGUCUCAGACUUGAAGACGCCUCUCCAGCAGAACUCCCUCAUUGGUCGGCAAGAGAAAACAAAGCUGGGCUCUGAUUGGUGACAGCUCUGUAGCUCCUCCUCAUACCCGCAGUCCCCGCAAGUUCCACCCCUGCCCGCCCGGUUCGCUCGCCCUUGGUUCCCACUCCCAGGUGGCUGCAGACUGGAGUGUGUUUCAUGGACGAGCAACCUCCCUGAGGAGAACCCCGGAUACGCAGGUUCAUUCGCCAGAUGCGAGUUUUCUUAAGCCGCUGCGAUUCUCUGAUUUCAGUAUGAACUUGGUGAAUAACGUAAUCUUUAACUUCCUUUGGAUUCAGACAAGUCUCCUAGGUUUAAAAAUGCUGCAUAAGAUUGAGAGGGAUAUUGUUAUGCACGAAAAAAGACAUAAGGUGUUUUCACCUUUGGCGACACUAGUCACCAGUAAAAUGAGCAUUCAUUCAUUAAGCCAAUCAUCAGGAAUGGAUCUAGGAAGAACCUACUGUUUACUAGAAAUAGGUUAGAUCUGUGGAUAUAACAAUGAAUAAGACAAGACUGGUGGAUCUAUAGAGAAACUAUUACUGCACAGGUGAUGGGGAAAUCAAGAGUACUAUGGGGCCAAGGAGACUGUCCUGCAGCAAAUGAGGAAUAAGCUGAAACAUCAGUAGGAGCCAUCCCAGAGAAAAGGGACAGGGUUCUAGAUCCAGAGAACAACAGAAGAGCAUUCAGCGCCUGCAAGGGAGCAGGGGAUCUAAUGCAAAGCCAUUGCAUAACCAGUCAACUUUCCCCACAUCACAAGAUUGCCUAGCCUGGAUGGCCCCAGAAUGUUGAAACAAAUGUCUAAUUAGUAACGACAUUCUGAAUGCUUGGGAGCUGAGCAAAAUAUGAGGAGAAGCAACCUGAUUUUUGUUUCAUAUUAUCAUCUCCUUUAUUCCAGCAACAAAAGACACUGAAAAUAGUAAAUGCCCACUUUCAACCAUGACAGCCCUUUUAGGAUAGUAACGGUGAGCAGUAUUAAUCCUAUUUGACCAGAACUAGGGCAGAAUUGAAGCCCCUGGAGUAGAGAUCUGUUCUAUUAGCCCCAGCCUUUCCGCCUGCUUCUUGGGAUGGCUAUCUUUACUUUAUCAGUUGAGCCUCCAGCAUUAGCAGAUACCUAUAAGGGAAGAGAUCCAGCCCUCACUAUGGAGGGCCAGAAAGAGAAAGCACCAGACAUUAGGAAAUGUCAAAGUAUCUCAGUACAUCCAGCUGAUUAGUGACAGAUAAGUCAAAAUUUGCAGCAACUAAAUAAAUCAAAAAGUAGAUUUUAAAA
rnacentral:lncRNA from 1 species